rnacentral:rRNA from 1 species
AUGCCGUUCGGCCUGACAAAUGCUCCUGCAACCUUCCAGUGCUUGAUGAAUGCGAUCUUCGCCAAGUAUACACGUAAGUUUGUCAUCAUUUUCCUUGAUGACAUUCUGGUUUUCAGUGAGACCUGGGAAGAGCACUUGGAACAUCUUCGCCUCAUCCUGAGCCUGAGCCUGCUCCGCGAGCACCAGUUAUACGCCAAGAUGUCGAAGUGUUCGUUCGCGCAAGAUCACAUUGAUUACCUCGGCCACAUCAUCUCCAAGCAAGGCGUAGCGACCGACUUCGAGAAGACAGAAGCCAUGGCUUAG